AACCUGGUUGAUCCUGCCAGUAGUCAUAUGCUUGCUUCAAGGACUAAGCCAUGCAAGUCUCAGAAUCAAUGGAUCACAGUGAGUCUGCAGACGGCUCAAUAAAUCAGUUAUAAUCUACGCUGAGACACUACCUCAUGGUAGACUAUUGGAUAACCUUGGUGCUUCCAAGGCUAAUACAUGUCAGCAAGACCAGCACAGAAUCAACCUUGGGCACUCUCGGGCUUGAGGCUGUAUCGGGUGCAAUACCGAAACUAAAGCCAACCCUAGCAAUAGGAGUGGUGAUUUGAUGACUCGGGUCAAUCGAGCAGUAGCGCAUACUCCGGUCGCGCUUGUCGGCAACGAGUAUCUGCCCUAUCAGCUUUUAAAGGUAGUGUAAUGGACUACUGUGGCUGUAACAGGUAACGGGGGAUUAGGGUUCGAUUCCGGAGAGGGAGCCGGAGAAACGGCUACCACAACUAAGGUUGGCAUCAGGCGCAGAUUACUCGAUAGCAACACAUCGCUGAGGCAGCGAAGAGAAGUAGCAACCUCAGGCUACCGUUUGGAGAAUGCCAUGGACGAUAUCUAAACCUGUCGAUGAGAAUCAAUUUGCAGUCAAGUCUGAUGCCAGCACCCGCGGUAAUUCCAGCACCAAUAGC
rnacentral:rRNA from 1 species